rnacentral:rRNA from 1 species
CUCAGGACGAACGCUGGCGGCGUGCGUAAUACAUGCAAGUCGAACGCUUUUUCUUUCACCGGAGCUUGCUCCACCGAAAGAAAAAGAGUGGCGAACGGGUGAGUAACACGUGGGUAACCUGCCCAUCAGAAGGGGAUAACACUUGGAAACAGGUGCUAAUACCGUAUAACACUAUUUUCCGCAUGGAAGAAAGUUGAAAGGCGCUUUUGCGUCACUGAUGGAUGGACCCGCGGUGCAUUAGCUAGUUGGUGAGGUAACGGCUCACCAAGGCAACGAUGCAUAGCCGACCUGAGAGGGUGAUCGGCCACACUGGGACUGAGACACGGCCCAGACUCCUACGGGAGGCAGCAGUAGGGAAUCUUCGGCAAUGGACGAAAGUCUGACCGAGCAACGCCGCGUGAGUGAAGAAGGUUUUCGGAUCGUAAAACUCUGUUGUUAGAGAAGAACAAGGAUGAGAGUAAAAUGUUCAUCCCUUGACGGUAUCUAACCAGAAAGCCACGGCUAACUACGUGCCAGCAGCCGCGGUAAUACGUAGGUGGCAAGCGUUGUCCGGAUUUAUUGGGCGUAAAGCGAGCGCAGGCGGUUUCUUAAGUCUGAUGUGAAAGCCCCCGGCUCAACCGGGGAGGGUCAUUGGAAACUGGGAGACUUGAGUGCAGAAGAGGAGAGUGGAAUUCCAUGUGUAGCGGUGAAAUGCGUAGAUAUAUGGAGGAACACCAGUGGCGAAGGCGGCUCUCUGGUCUGUAACUGACGCUGAGGCUCGAAAGCGUGGGGAGCGAACAGGAUUAG